UUAUAUAUAUACUUAUGACAAUAAUGGUUGUCACCCCCUUCAAUUUUACUAAUAGGCUGGGGGGUGACAACCGUUAUUGGCAUGAGCAUGUAUCAAUUGG